rnacentral:rRNA from 1 species
AUUGAACGCUGGCGGCAGGCUUAACACAUGCAAGUCGAACGAGUGGCGGACGGGUGAGUAAUGCUUGGGAAUCUAGCUUAUGGAGGGGGAUAACUACGGGAAACUGUAGCUAAUACCGCGUACCAUAGGAUGAGCCAAAGUGGGAUUAGGUAGUUGGUGGGGUAAAGGCUCACCAAGCCGACGAUCUCUAGCUGGUCUGAGAGGAUGCACAGCCACACUGGGACUGAGACACGGUCCGGACUCCUACGGGAGGCAGCAGUGUGGAAUAUGGCGCAAUUGGGGCAACCUGACGCAGCCAUGCCGAGUGGAUGAAGAAGGCCUUCGGGUUGUAAAGUUCUUUCGGUAGCGAGGCGUUAACUACAGAAGAAGCACCGGCUAACUCCGUGCCAGCAGCCGCGGUACUUC